rnacentral:lncRNA from 1 species
GUCCCAUCUGUCACCUUCAUGGCCGCCACCAGGAUCCCCGCCACCUCCGGACACCUGCAUGAGCCACCCUGCAAGGGCUGAGGGACCGAGCCGCACCCCAGAGCUGCGGCUCGCGGCUUCCAAUUAUUCCAGGGGCGCAAUCGCUGGGGCAGCCUCGUGGUUCCAUUUCCUUUGCCGAUUUCAGGGUAGCUUUGAAGCAAACGGAGGGACGCGAUGGGGCUCCAAGGGGGUCCGUCUUUGGUCUCAACCCCUGGCAGUGACCUUGGCAAGGGGGGAAUGCCUUUGUGCGCAGGGACAAAGUUAUCCAAGACCUGGAGGACAGCAGACGGCAGAAGCUGCUUGGCGGCGGGCUGGUGGGAUAACAUGAGGUUUCCAGUCUCGGAUGAGGUAUGUGCCCUGAAGCUCACCAGCUGGGUUAUGAGGAUGAGCCGUGUCUGGAAGAGACUGACAGUGGCAGGCAAGACAGGCCCGCAAGGCAGCCCACCGUCAGGCGGGAGCCCCUGGAGCAGAAUCCUUGAGCUCCAAGGCAGAGAUGACCAAGGAUCCCUGGUUCUGGAGCGGGACCGGGCUUGCCGCGCCCUCCGGUGCCACGCGGGCUCGGUGCCCGUGGGGUCCUCGCGGGAAGCUGAAACCCAACCAGGGCUCCGCUCUCCAAGCCCCAGUCCCUGUCCCGGGGUCACAUCCUUUCCUCCUAAGUGA